rnacentral:rRNA from 1 species
UGGGGAAUUUUGGACAAUGGGGGCAACCCUGAUCCAGCCAUGCCGCGUGCGGGAAGAAGGCCUUCGGGUUGUAAACCGCUUUUAUCCGGAAAGAAGGAGUCCAGGCCAAUACCCUGGAUGACUGACGGUACCGGAGGAAUAAGCACCGGCUAACUACGUGCCAGCAGCCGCGGUAAUACGUAGGGUGCGAGCGUUAAUCGGAAUUACUGGGCGUAAAGCGUGCGCAGGCGGCUCUGAAAGUCAGCUGUGAAAGCCCCGGGCUUAACCUGGGAAUGGCGGUUGAAACUACAGAGCUAGAAUCUGGCAGAGGGGGGUGGAAUUCCACGUGUAGCAGUGAAAUGCGUAGAGAUGUGGAGGAACACCGAUGGCGAAGGCAGCCCCCUGGGCUGAGAUUGACGCUCAGGCACGAAAGCGUGGGGAGCAAACAG